UGGGGAAUAUUGCACAAUGGGGGAAACCCUGAUGCAGCGACGCCGCGUGAGCGAAGAAGGUUUUCGAAUCGUAAAGCUCUGUCCUAUGAGAAGAUAUUGACGGUUUAAUAGGAGGAAGCCCCGGCUAAAUACGUGCCAGCAGCCGCGGUAAUACGUAGGGCGCAAGCGUUAUCCGGAAUUAUUGGGCGUAAAGAGCUUGUAGGCGGUUCGUCGCGUCUGGUGUGAAAGCCCAUCGCUUAACGGUGGGUUUGCGCCGGGUACGGGCGGGCUAGAGUGCAGUAGGGGAGACUGGAAUUCCCGGUGUAACGGUGGAAUGUGUAGAUAUCGGGAAGAACACCAAUGGCGAAGGCAGGUCUCUGGGCUGUUACUGACGCUGAGAAGCGAAAGCGUGGGGAGCGAACAGG
rnacentral:rRNA from 1 species